rnacentral:misc_RNA from 1 species
ACACCUCAACCCUCACGGUUCCUCGUGAUGGGCUUGGACUUGGGGGCUUUGUUGGCCUGUGGUCAGCUCUCCUCAAAUAAAUCAGCUCGCCAGUGUCUGGCGGCAUCAUGGGUGUGAUAACCAUCUACGCUUGUGAUCGCCUGCGAGGUAAACCUCUGGUCUGCAGAGGUUCACUGGAGCUUAUAGAUGUCUCUCCUCUGUGAAGACAGCUUUCUGAA